CAGACAAGACUGCCGUGCUCACGUUGAUC
rnacentral:piRNA from 1 species